UACGUAGGGGGCUAGCGUUGUCCGGAAUCAUUGGGCGUAAAGAGCGUGUAGGCGGUCCGGUAAGUCCGUUGUGAAAGUCAGGGGCUCAACCCUCGAAUGCCGGUGGAUACUGUCGGACUAGAGUGCGGAAGAGGCGAGUGGAAUUCCUGGUGUAGCGGUGAAAUGCGCAGAUAUCAGGAGGAACACCAGUGGCGAAGGCGGCUCACUGGCCCGGAACUGACGCUGAGGUGCGAAAGCGUGGGGGAGCAAACAGG
rnacentral:rRNA from 1 species